rnacentral:rRNA from 1 species
UACGUAGGGGGCUAGCGUUGCUCGGAAUCACUGGGCGUAAAGCGCACGUAGGCGGAUCUUUAAGUCAGGGGUGAAAUCCCAAGGCUCAACCUUGGAACUGCCUUUGAUACUGGGGAUCUCGAGUCCGGAAGAGGUUGGUGGAACUCCGAGUGUAGAGGUGAAAUUCGUAGAUAUUCGGAAGAACACCAGUGGCGAAGGCGGCCAACUGGUCCGGCACUGACGCUGAGGUGCGAAAGCGUGGGGGGCAAACAGG